rnacentral:sRNA from 1 species
UCCAGGAGCUGUGGCCCACACCUGUAAUCCCAGUGACUCAGGAGGCUGAGGCAGGAGGAUCAUAAGUUUGAGAUCAGCCAGGGCAACUUAAUGAGAUCCUGUCUCAU